AUUGAACGCUGGCGGCAGGCUUAACACAUGCAAGUCGAGCGGGGAAAGGUAGCUUGCUACCUGACCUAGCGGCGGACGGGUGAGUAAUGCUUAGGAAUCUGCCUAUUAGUGGGGGACAACAUCUCGAAAGGGAUGCUAAUACCGCAUACGUCCUACGGGAGAAAGCAGGGGACCUUCGGGCCUUGCGCUAAUAGAUGAGCCUAAGUCGGAUUAGCUAGUUGGUGGGGUAAAGGCCUACCAAGGCGACGAUCUGUAGCGGGUCUGAGAGGAUGAUCCGCCACACUGGGACUGAGACACGGCCCAGACUCCUACGGGAGGCAGCAGUAGGGAAUAUUGGACAAUGGGGGGAACCCUGAUCCAGCCAUGCCGCGUGUGUGAAGAAGGCCUUUUGGUUGUAAAGCACUUUAAGCGAGGAGGAGGCUACCGAGAUUAAUACUCUUGGAUAGUGGACGUUACUCGCAGAAUAAGCACCGGCUAACUCUGUG
rnacentral:rRNA from 1 species